rnacentral:rRNA from 1 species
GCAUAUCAAUAAGCGGAGGAAAAGAAAAUAACAAUGAUUCCCCUAGUAACUGCGAGUGAAGAGGGACAAGCUCAAAUUUUAAAUCUGUCGGGUUCUACCUGACCGAGUUGUAAUUUGUAGAGGCGUUUUCUGUGUUUCUGAUCAGUCCAAGUCCUUUGGGAUAAGGCAUCACGGAGGGUGAGAAUCCCGUUCGGUUGAUCAGAUUCGCUUUACGAUACGUCAUCAAAGAGUCAAGUUGUUUGGGAUUGCAGCUUAAAAUGGGAGGUAAAUUUCUCCUAAGGCUAAAUAACGGCGAGAGACCGAUAGCGAACAAGUACCGUGAGGGAAAGAUGAAAAGAACUUUGAAAAGAGAGUUAAAUAGUACGUGAAAUUGUUGAAAGGGAAACGAUUGAAGCCAGUCGUACCUGCGGGUAAUCAGCCUUUUGGGCAUGAUUCUGUGGAGCGUGAAGAGUUAAACGCCUUCAUGCCUGCAUAUUCGUGUACUUUGGGUGUACUUGCCUGUGUGGUUAGUUAACAUCAAUUUUGGUUAUCAUAAAAUGGUUGGAGGAAUCUAGCUUCGAUUUCGAUUGAAGUGUUAUAGCCUUCGGCAGAUGUGAUGAUCGGGAUUGAGGAUUGCAACGGAUACCUUUCGGGGCUACCUGUCUGAUCUCUGAUCGUUGCUCUGGUGCCGAAAGCGUGCUUACGGUUAUCAGAGUCGAUGGUCAAUAGGUUAGAACGGGUUAAAUUCGUUAAGGAU